UGCCAUGUCAGGUUGAAACACUCGUUCUCGUAUGAUAACCGAAGUUAAGCAAAAUUGAGCGUGGUCAGGACCUAGAUGGGUGACUGCUUGGGAAUAUUAGGUACUGCAA